CCUAUGGAUACUUACAAGGGACAUGGUUUCAGAAAUGAUCUUAUCCAAAUGAUGGUCGAUCUAAAACCCCGUUUCCUCCGAUUCCCCGGUGGUUGUUUUGUGGAGGGUGACUGGUUAGGCAACUCAUUCCGCUGGAAAGAAACUGUGGGAGCUUGGGAGGAAAGACCUGGCCAUUAUGGUGAUGU